rnacentral:rRNA from 1 species
AGAACGAACGCUGGCGGCAUGCCUAACACAUGCAAGUCGAACGCUUCCGGGGCUUCGGUCGCGGAGGAGUGGCGCACGGGUGAGUAGCGCGUGGGAACCUGCCCUGUUGUGGGGGAUAACCGAGGGAAACUUCGGCUAAUACCGCAUGCGCCCGGGGAAACCCGGGGAAAGAUUUAUCGCAGCAGGAGGGGCCCGCGUCGGAUUAGCUAGUUGGUGGGGUAACGGCCCACCAAGGCUGUGAUCCGUAGCUGGUCUGAGAGGAUGAUCAGCCACACUGGGACUGAGACACGGCCCAGACUCCUACGGGAGGCAGCAGUGGGGAAUAUUGGACAAUGGGCGCAAGCCUGAUCCAGCAAUGCCGCGUGAGUGAUGAAGGCCUUAGGGUUGUAAAGCUCUUUCGCCCGCGACGAUGAUGACGGUAGCGGGAGAAGAAGCCCCGGCUAACUUCGUGCCAGCAGCCGC